rnacentral:rRNA from 1 species
UACGGGGGGGGUAAGCGUUGUUCGGAAUUACUGGGCGUAAAGGGCUCGUAGGCGGCCAACUAAGUCAUACGUGAAAUCCCUCAGCUUAACUGGGGAACUGCGUGUGAUACUGGAUGGCUUGGAUUUGGGAGAGGGAUGCGGAAUUCCAGGUGUAGCGGUGAAAUGCGUAGAUAUCUGGAGGAACACCGGUGGCGAAGGCGGCAUCCUGGACCAAUACUGACGCUCAUGCACGAAAGCGUGGGGAGCAAACAGG